rnacentral:rRNA from 1 species
AUUGAACGCUGGCGGCAGGCCUAACACAUGCAAGUCGAGCGGAUGAAGGGAGCUUGCUCCUGGAUUCAGCGGCGGACGGGUGAGUAAUGCCUAGGAAUCUGCCUGGUAGUGGGGGAUAACGUCCGGAAACGGGCGCUAAUACCGCAUACGUCCUGAGGGAGAAAGUGGGGGAUCUUCGGACCUCACGCUAUCAGAUGAGCCCAGGUCGGGUUAGCUAGUUGGUGGGGUAAAGGCCUACCAAGGCGACGAUCCGUAACUGGUCUGAGAGGAUGAUCAGUCACACUGGAACUGAGACACGGUCCAGACUCCUACGGGAGGCAGCAGUGGGGAAUAUUGGACAAUGGGCGAAAGCCUGAUCCAGCCAUGCCGCGUGUGUGAAGAAGGUCUUCGGAUUGUAAAGCACUUUAAGUUGGGAGGAAGGGCAGUAAGUUAAUACCUUGCUGUUUUGACGUUACCAACAGAAUAAGCACCGGCUAACUUCGUG